UUUAUUACCAAUGAAAAAAUAAAGACUACAAUUUUUGUUAUCCUGUACCAGCAGUGAAUAGAAAAUAAUAUAAAAUGUUUCGCAUAGCUAUAUUGCUUGGAUGGUACACUGUUUUUGGAUUCUAUGGUACAUGUAAAGGAUCAAACGAACAGACCCCAGUCACUUUUACCUUCAAGGAAUAUCAGUACAAAGAUUCGCCUAAAAACGAAAUGACAUUCAGGGAAUUUGAAACAGCGUGUGAACAAAGUAGCGCAUGCAGCCAUCUGUCUGGAUUACAAAAAACUCGCUGCGUUAGAGAAUGCGUUUCUCCUUCUUGCUACAGGGAGCUUUAUCAGGCUGAUCCGUUGGAAGAAGGUGAAAUUGACGUGCGGUUGAACUCUUUCAAAGGCUGCUUUACGCAGAGAAGCGGCCGAACGAGAAAUUGAUUUCGCUCCACCGUUAUAUCUUCUCUGGUUCUAUGUGCUAACAAGAUAAAUAAAAUUCGACACAAAGUGAAAUUUGUUCUGCACGCCUUGUUCCUCUCAAGCACAGAUGCCAAAGAAAACACCUUCAUAAAUAAAGUAGUAAAAAAGAAGUUGUAAGAAUAGUCACUAAUAUUAUAUGCAAGUUUAUUAUUAUUACACGGUUAUUGCUCAAUAAUAUUUUUAUAGUUCGGAUAUGCGAUCUUAAUAAUGGAAUAUUUGAAGUCCACUGGGUGCGGCCAACAGGUAUACAUGAGAUAUUGUAAACAGGUGUAUUUACAUUAUUGUCAAUACUAAUUACGGCAAAGAGUAAAUGCAGUACGCCGAAAGCCGAAUAAAUACGAUAACAAGUAAUGAAGUACAACCUAAUUAAUUUAUUACGUAUUUUCAGACACAGUUAUUUCAAUAAAUACAAUAGCUCUGUUA